rnacentral:rRNA from 1 species
AGAGUUGAUCAUGGCUCAGAGCGAACGCUAGCGGCGGGCCUAACACAUGCAAGUCGAGCGGGGAACUUCGGUUCUUAGCGGCGAACGGGUGAGUAACACGUAGGUAAUGUGCCUUCUGGUGGGGAACAACCGCGGGAAACCGCGGCUAAUACCGCAUAUGUCCUUCGGGAUCGAAAGCCUUCGGGCGCCAGUAGAGCAGCCUGCGGCCCAUUAUUUAUUCCUAGUUGGUAGGGUAACGGCCUACCAAGGGUACGAUGGGUAGCUGGUCUGAGAGGAUGAUCAGCACACUGGAACUGAGACACGGUCCAGACUCCUACGGGAGGCAGCAGUGGGGAAUAUUGCGCAAUGGGCGAAAGCCUGACGCAGACCACGCCGAGUGAGUGAUGAAGGCCUUCGGGUUGUAAAGCUCUGUACCGGGAGGGAAGAAGGGAGCAAUCCCUGACGGUACCUCGCAAGAAAGCACCGGCUAACUCUGUGCACAGCGCGGGUAAUACAGAGGGUGCAAGCGU